ACUCAAAUGAAUAGACGGGGGCCCGCACAAGCAGCGGAGCGUGUGGUUUAAUUCGAUGCAACGCGAAGAACCUCACCUAGGUUUGACAUGCUAGAAGUAGAACCCCGAAAGGGGAACCACCCGUAAAAUCGGGAGCUAGCACAGAUGCUGCAUGGCUGUCGUCAGCUCGUGCCGUGAGGUGUUGGGUUAAGUCCCGCAACGAGCGCAACCCUCGGCGCUAGUUACCAUGUCUAGCGCAACUGCCGGUACUAAACCGGAGGAAGGUGGGGAUGACGUCAAGUCAGCACGGCUCUUACGCCUAGGGCUACACACACGCUACAAUGGCCGGUACAGAGGGACGCCAAGGGGUGACCCGGAGCAAAUCCCAUCAAAGCCGGUCUCAGUUGGGAUUGGAGGCUGCAACUCGCCUCCAUGAACGAGGAGUUGCUAGUAACCGCAGGUCAGCACACUGCGGUGAAUACGUUCCCGGGCCUUGCACACACCGCCCGU
rnacentral:rRNA from 1 species